rnacentral:tRNA from 1 species
GCAUGCGUGGCUGAGUGGUCGAUAGCAACAGACUCAUAAUCUGUCUCCGAUAGGACGUCACAGGUUCAAACCCUGUCGCAUGCA